GCUCUUUGGCUCUGACCAUGCCAGCAGGCUUCACGGUUCUCGUUUUCCAAAGAGGAACACAGAUUCAGCGAGCGGCUGCUGGCUUCUGACCCAUUUUGAUGUCAGGGCUUGGCACGUAGGAGGUGUUCAAUGUUGAUCGAUCCAAGGUCGUGCACAUAGGGUCUAAGACGGAAGAGAACUUCCUGCCCCUCUUGGAGCUUCUAUUUUAGAGGGAGACACGGCCAGACAGGUCUCGAACUCCUGGCCUCAAGUGAUCCGCACACCUUGGCCUCCCAAAAUGCUGGGAUUCCAGGCGUGAGCCACCGCGCCUGGCCUGGUAUGUAAGUUUUGGUACUCUUAUUACAGCCCACAAACCAUAUGGGAUCUGGCCCCUGCCAGCCUGCCUGCCCUCAUCACCUUCCGCUUCCCUCCUCUCCUCACCCUCACUCAGCUCCGCCACCCCACCUUCUUCCUGUUCCUCUAAGCUCCAAGCUUAUUUCCACUUUAGAGCAUUUAUACUUGCUGUUCCCUGUGCUGGGAUGUUCUAGAUUCCUGAAUGAUUGGCUCCUUCUUUACAUUUAGGUUCCAGCUCAAAUGUCACCUCCACAAAAGAGGCCUAUCUGAAAUUGCCCACUCACCACCACCCAGCACACAAAUUAGGGUUGCCAGGUUUAGCAAAUAAAAUGCAGGCUGCCCAGGUCAAUGUAAAUUUUAGAAAAAAAUUUAUAAUUUUCUAGUAUAAAUACUGUGUAGGACAUAUUUAUACUUAAAAAUCAUGCAUUGCUUAUCUGAAAUUCACAUUGAACUGGGUGCCCAGUGUUUGAUCUGGUAAGCCUAGUUCCAUGAUAUCAUUAUGGUAUUUAUCACUCUCCAACUAAUUGUCUCUUCUUUAUUUUGUUCCUCCUUCCGCUUCUCCCCUCCUAAACCCCUGCCCUCCUCCCCAUCCAUAACCUAAGGGAUUCUAUACAGCAAGGGCUUUUCUUUUUUUUUUUUUUUUUUAAAGACAGAGUCUUGCUCUGUCGCCCAGGCUGGAGGGCUGGAGUGCAGUGGUGCUGUCACAGCUCACUGCAACCUCUGCCUCCCAGGUUCAAGCAAUUUUCCUGACUCAGCCCCCCAAGUUACUGGGACUACAGGUGCCCGCCACCAUGCCCCGCUGAUUUUUGUAUUUUUAGUAGACACGGGGUUUCACCAUAUUGGCCAGGCUGAUCUUGAACUCCUGACCUUGUGAUCCGCCAGCCUUGGCCUCCCAAAGUGCUGGGAUUACAGGCAUGAGCCACCACGCCUGGCCAGGGCUUUUUUUUUUUUUUUUUUUUUCUUUUAAGAGGCAGGGUCUUGCUCUGUCACCCAGGCUGCAGUGCAAUGGCACAAUCAUAGCUCAUUGCAACCUCGACCUCCUAGGCUAAAGCAAUCCUCCCACCUCAGCCUCCUGAGUAGCUAGGACUACAGGCACCUGCCACCACACCUGGCUAAUUUUGAAUUUUUUUGUAGAGAUGAGCUCUCACUAUGUUGCCCAGGCAAACUCCUGGCCUCAAGUGAUCCUCCCACCUCCGCCUCCUAAAGCACUGGGAUAGGGCUGGGCAUGGUGGCUCACGCCGGUAAUCCCAGUGAUUUGGGAGACCGAGGCAGGCAGAUCACCUGAGAUUGGGAGUUUGAGACCUGACCAACAUGGAGAAACCCCGUCUCUACUAAAAAUACAAAAUUAGCCGGGUGUGGUGGCGCACGUCUGCAAUCCCAGCUACUUGGGAGGCUGAGGCAGGAGAGUCGUUUGAACCCGGGAGGCAGAGGUUGCGGUGAGCUGAGAUCUUGCCAUUGCACUCCAGCCUGGGCAACAAGAGCGAAACUCCAUCUCAAAAAAAAAAAAAGCCCCGGGAUUACAGGUGUGAGCCACCACAUCUAGCCCCAUAUUGAUGGUAUUCACAGCUGUACCCCCAGCACUAGGCACACAGUAGCUGCUUAAUAAAUGUUUGUUGCAUGUUGAAUGAAAUGCCAUAUAUAAAUAAGUGAAGUCCAUGGAGAAAGAUACAUGAGUGAAAGACAUUGGUGAGGCCGGGCACGGUGGCUCAUGCCUGUAAUCCCAGCACUUUGGAAGGCUGAGGCAGGCGGAUCAUGAGGUCAGGAGAUCGAGACCAUCCUGGCCAACAUGGUAAAACCCUGUCUCUACAAAAAUACAAAAAUUAGCCAGAUGUGGUGGCAUGCGCCUGUAGUCCCAGCUACUCAGGAGGCUGAGGCAGGAGAAUCGCUUGAACCUGGGAGGCAGAGGCUGCAGUGAGCCGAGAUCGAGCCACUGCACUCCAGCCUGGGUGACAGCGAGACUGUGUCUUAAAAAAAUAAAUAAAUAAAUAAAAUAAAAAUAAAAAUAAACCAUGAUGGUCAGAAGACGGUGGAACAUUUUAAAAAAAAACAAAGACAUUGGUGAAAAAGAUGUAUUUUUACUAUUGCAGCAAUAGUACCAGUAAUCACCAGUAAUCAUUUUAAUCGUUCUAAUCUGCAUUUUUUUUUUUUUUUGAGACGGAGUCUCACACUGUUGCCCAAGCUGGAGUGCAGUGGUGCGAUCUCGGCUCACUGCAAACUCCACCUCCUGGGUUCACGCCAUUUUCCUGCCUCAGCCUCCCGAGCAGCUGGGACUACAGGCGCCCGCCACCAUGCCCAGCUAAUUUUUUGUAUUCUUAGUAGAGACAGGGUUUCACCGUGUUAGCCAGGAUGGUCUUGAUCUCCUGACCUCAUGAUCCGCCCGCCUCGGCCUCCCAAAGUGCUGGGAUUACAAGCGUGAGCCACCACACCCGGCCCACUAAUCUACUUUAAUAUAAUUAACAUGUUCCUCUAGUCCUAGGGAGAAUGAGCCUGAUGACUUUACCAUUUUCCACCUCUAAGAGCCAAUCGCAAAGGAGGCUGGCUGGCAUCUUGUGUCUGUCUAGCAUCUCUACCAGUUUCUGUAGAAAACCCUCAAGCUGUGCCAAGACGAUCAUGUCUGGACACAGCUCUUGGUGUCACGGGGUGUCUCCUCCUACUGCCUAUCGCCCUUUGCAGCCACCAGAAUAAUCAUGCAGGUGAGAGCCACAGAAAGGCUGAGUGUCCUUCUCCACUCUGCAUGGUUCAUGGGUGACAGCUAAAGAUUCCCUUGGGAAUCCUCCCCAUCCCAGCUCCACUACAUGCACAUACUCUUGGGGCGUGCUACAACUCUUAACAGACUGUGUUGGAAACCAAAGAAAACAAUUCAUCCACUUCAAGGAGCAGGAGACUAAGUACUCAUUCAUGUAGUUUCCUUUCUUUCUAAACCCUUAUAAAACAAUCUGUCUAGGUUGGGCAUGGUGGCUCACGCCUGUAAUCCCAACACUUUGGGAGGACAGGAUGGGUCACCCGAGGUCAGGAGUUCGAGACCAGUCUGGCCAACAUUGUGAAACCCCAUCUCUACUAAAAAUACAAAAAUUAGCCGGGUGUGGUGGUGGGUGCCUGUAAUCCCAGCUACUUGGGAGGCUGAGGCAGGAGAAUCACUUGAACCUGGGAGGUAGAGGUUGCAGUGAGCUGAGGUCGCACCACUGCACUCCAGCCUGGGCGACAAAGCAAGAUUCUGUCCCCCCGCGCAAAAACAAAAAAAACCCCAAUCUGUCUAAUGUAAGGAAAGACAUUCUGAAAAGACACAUUGUCUAUGGUGUGCUCCUUGAGGAAGAUAACUUUACAUUUUAUUUGGAUCCAGAAGGGCGUGGACACAUCUGGUUAUGCUGGGAAAGAACAAGUCUUAUGUCUCAAUCUCGCUUUUAAAGCCCAACUGAGAUGCAGAAGAGUGUUAACAGCUAAACAUUGAGAAGUAUCUGAUUGUUGUUUCUUAUCUUUUUUAAAAUGGAGGCACUUUAAUUUUUUUUUUUUUUUUUGAGAUGGAAUCUCACUCUGUUGCCCAGGCUGUACAGUACAGUGGCGCGAUUUUGGCUUACUACAACCUCCGCCUCCCAGGUUCAAGCAAUUCUCCUGCCUCAGCCUCCCAAGUAGCUGGGACUACAGGCGCCCACUACCACACUCAGCUAAUUUUUGUAUUUUUAGUAGAGAUGGUUUCACCAUGUUGGCCAGGCUGGUCUUGACCUGACCUCAGGUGAUCUGCCCACCUUGGCCUCCCAAAAUGCUGGGAUUACAGGCGUGAGCCACUGCACCUGGCUUAUUUCUGUUUAAAUAUAUGUUUAUAUGUUAUAAAAAUCUACACGUUUGAGACUAGCCUGAUCAACAUGGUGAAACCCCAUCUCUACUAAAAAUAUGAAAAUUAGCCGGGCGUGGUACUGUGUGCCUAUAAUCCCAGCUAUUUGGGAGGCUGAGGCAGGAGAAUUGCUUGAACCCAGGAGGCAGAGGUUGCAGUGAGCUGAGAUUGCACCAUUGCACUCCAGCUGGGCAACAGAGCGAGACUCCAUCUCAAAAAAACAAAUCUACUCAUACAAAAUGGGAAAUCUCCUUUAUUAAUUAGGAUAUAAGUUGUAGGUAAUAUAUUAUGUCCUCUAUUUCCUUAUUUUAUAUUUUUUUAAUUAAAAAUUUUUAAAUGUAUAUAUUUAAAUUUUUUUUUGUAGGGAUUGGGUCUCUCUGUGUUGCCCAGGUUGGUCUCAAACCUCUGGGCUCAAGUGUUCCACCCACCUUGGCCUCCCAAAGUGCUGGGAUUACAGUGGCUCACUGCAAUCUCCGCCUCCCAGGUUCAAGCGAUUCUCCUGCCUCAGCCUCCCAAAUAGCUGGGAUUACAGGCAUGUGCCACCACACCCAGCUAACUUUUGUACUUUUAGUAGAGAUGGGGUUUCACCAUGUUGGUCAGGCUGGUCUUGAACUCCUGAGCUCAGGUGAUCCACCUGCCUCCGCCUCCCAAAGUGCUGGAAUUACAGGUGUGAGGCACCACGCCUGACCUAGAAGUGUAUUUUUCAUGCUUCUUGAUGGGAAAUUAUAUUUUUUCCAUCCCUUCAAGUGGGAUUUUUAGACCUGCCUUAGACCUGGGCAAGCCUGCAGACCUUUGCCGUGCCCUUGCUUUAGAGGGCUUCGUCCUGGCCCUCCUCCAGCUGCUCCCUCCUGCCCGUUAGCCGAAUGGGUGUGCACAUCUAGAACCCAUGCCACUCCCUUUGAGACCACACUGCAGUUGGACAGGGCCCUGGAAUUCCCAACCCAUAGGGCCCUGGCCUGUGGAUACCCUUGCCUGGGUCACUUCUUCAGAGGGUGGGCUGCACAGCAGCUUGUGAGCACUCCCAUGCUGGAAGGGUGACUUGGGUCAGAAAGGGGUUUGCAGGGAGUUUGGACAGGAAUGGGCUUCCAUGCACACAUGCAAAGCCUUAUGGUGCAGGGUGAAGCCUGAGGUGGAGAGAGCAGGGUGCUGGUCUUGGGCCAGCCACCCGGUGCUGCUGCUUUCUGGUGUGGAGCUCUGAGGAGCCUGAGAAUUCCAUCUUUGACCUGCCCUUCCAGAUCUUUACAAAGGUACAUUUAUAAAGGAAGGAAGAUAGACUGUCUUAUUCAAAAGUUUUACGUAUAGUUUUUCAAUGUUGACCCUCAGAGCAUGGGAGCCGACAUUUGUAUUUCUGCCCUAGAGCCUGCAAAUGUUAGUCCUGUGCUAAGUGUGUUCUCUGUCCACAGGAGCCAGGGCCCCAUAUUAUCUACCGCUGUCCAUCUGCUCUCCAGCACAUCAGAGCAGCCCUUCCCCUGUGUGAGAUUCCUCUCCAGGGCAAGACUUGAAGGGAGCAUCAAGGUUGCAGUGGAAGAAAUAAAUUGGAAGUGGAGCUGGGCAGUUAUUUAUUUAUUUAAAUAGAGACAAGGCCGAAUGCGAUGGCUCACACCCGUAAUCCCAGCACUUUAGGAGGCCGAGGUGGGUAGACGACCUGAGGUCAGGAGUUCAAGACCAGCCUGAUCAACAUGGCGAAAUCCCGUCUCUACUAAAACUACAAAAAUUACCUGGGCACGGUGACACGCACCUGUAGUCCCAGCUACUCAGGAGGCUGAGGCACAAGAAUUGCUUGAACCUGGGAGGCCAAAAUUGCAGUGAGCCAAGAUUGCACUACUGCACUCCAGCCUGGGCGACAGAGCCAGACUCCAUCUCAAAAAAUAUAUAUAUAUAAAUAAAAAAUAAAUAAAUAGAGACAAGUCUCACUGUGUUGCCCAGGCUGGUCUCGAACUCCUGGGCUGAAGCAAUCUGCCUGCCUUGGCCUCCCAGAGAGCUGGGGUUACAGGUGUGAGGCACGGUGCCAGGCUAGAUCUGGGCAAUGUUUAGGAGGCGGGCUCUAGAGCCAGGCUGCAGGGCUUCAAAUCCCUCUGAGUGUCCUAAGUCAAGUUUGUCAACCUCUCUGAGCCCGUACCCCUCUAUAAAAAGGAGGGAUGCUGGUGAUGAUGAUAAUAGUACCUACUUUACGGGGGUUAUUGUGCGAAUUAAUGGCUGAAGAAUGGUUGAAAUAGCAAGAGUCAAAAACAUGAUCAAUAUGGAAAGCCUAGCAGGAGAAAGUACUAAAGUUCAUUGAUGGGGAGAUGGGGAGGGGGACAGAUGGGGUCUCACCGUUUCCCAGGCUGGUCUCAAACUUCUGGCCUCAAGUGAUCCUCCUGCCUUAGCCUCCCAAAGUGUUGGGAUUAUAGGCAUGAGCCACUGUGCCCAGCCAUUAAAUUCUCCUUCUUUCCUCUUUUGGUGGAAGGGAAGGGAGAAGUGAGACUUUACCAGGAGUCCAUGGAAUGUGGCCCAAAGGCCAAGGACAGAGUACCUUCCAGGACUCUCUCAGAGGGCAGCAGGAGCCCAGGGCUGCUUUCUGCCUAUGACAGGUGUGCAGUAGAAGUGGGUCUUCAGAGGCUGGGCGCAGUGUCUCAGGCCUGUAAUCCUAGCACUUCGGGAGGCAGAGGCGGGCAAAUCACCUGAGGUCAGGAGUUUGAGACCAGCCUGGCCAACAUGGUGAAAGCCAGUCUCUACUAAAAAUACAAAAAUUAGCCAAGUAAUUUUUUUUUUUUUUUUUUUUUUUUGAGGAAUCUUGCUCUGUGGCCCAGGCUAGAGUGCAGUGGUGUGAUCUCAGCUCACUGCAACCUUGGCCUCCCAGGUUCAAGUGAUUCUUGUUCCUUAGCCUUCCAAGUAGCUGGGACUAUGGGACUACAGGUGUGUGUCACCAUGCCCAGCUAAUUUUUGUAUUUUUCGUAGAGACAGGGUUUUGCCACAUUGGCCAGGCUGGUCACAAACUCUUGACCUCUAGUGAUCUGCCCGCCUCAGCCUCCCAAAGUGCUGGGAUUACAGGUGUAAGCCACCACACCUGGCCCAUGCCUGAUAGUUUUGAUUCAUCAUGGAUAAUCUGUCAUUAAAAGAAAUUCAGGGCCAAGUCCAGUGGCUCAUGCCUGUAAAUUCCAGCACUUUAGGAGGCUGAGGUGGGAAGAUGACUUGGGCCUAGGAGUUUGAGACCAGCUGGGGCAACGUAGCAAGACCCUGUCUCUACAAUAAAAUUUAAAAAAAUUAGCUGGGCAUAGUGAGGUGUGCCUGUAGUCCCAGCUACUGGGGAGGCUGAGGCAGGAAGAUUGCUUGAGCCCAAGAAUUUGAGGCUGCAGUAAGCUAUGAUGGUGCCACUGCCACUGCACUCCAGCCUGGGAGCCACAGCAAGAUCCUGAAUCAAAAAGAAUUCAUCUGAGGGUUCACCAAGUUGCUGAUGAGUCUCUAGAAAGUACAAGGAGAAUCCUGGGUUUAGCCAUUGAGUCUCAGGAUGCAGGAAUCAAGAUCAUCACAAUACUGGAUAAACAAGGGGAACAACUCAACCACAUAGAAGACAUGGGCCACAAAAAUACAGACAUGAGAGAGGCAGAGAAGACUUUAACAGAACUUAACAAAUGCCAUGCCCUUCGUGUCUGUCCACAUAAUAGAACAAAGAACUUUGGAUGGCUUGGGCACGAGAAAUUGAGGCUGCAGUCAGCUGCAAUGAGGCCACUCACCCCAGCCUGGGUGACAAAGCAAGAUCACGUCUCUUAAAAAAAAAAAUUGGAAACAUUGACAAAGACAGCCAAGAAGAAGGAAGCUGUAGAAGUGUUUUUUGUUUGUGGUUUUUGUGGUGGAGGGAGGGACAAGAGAUAAGAGGUUAACCUCAGCAAAAACCUAGCUGGGCAUGGUGGCACGUGCCUGUAAUCCCAGCAUUUUGGGAGGCUGAGGUGGAAAGAUUGCUUUCUUUCCACCUGGGAUGUGGAAUCACACAUUCUAUGCACACCUAUGAAUCACUAAGACUUCAGAAGUUAAGCUCCCUUUAAGAAAACUCAUUCUUUUUGGAGCAGAGGUUGCAGAACUGUGAUCCCUAACAAAAAUACUGUGUAUAAAAGCUCCAAAACGAAGUAUUAGCUUAAAGUGGCAAUAACUACAACUUUAUAACCAACUAAAUCUUUACCGUGGCUAUGCAACUUUUUGCUUUGUGGCCAGAAGGUUUUUUUGGUUUUUGUUUUUUUGAGACAGGCUGUCACCCAGGCUGAAGUGCAGUGGCACAAACAAAGCUCACUGCAGCCUCGACCUCCUGGGCUCAAGCAGUCCUCCCCACCCCAGUCUCCUGGGUAGCUGGGACUACAGGCGUGUGCCACCACACUUGCUAUUAUUAUUUUGUAGAGAUAGGGUCUCACUACAUUCCCCAGAUUGGUCUCAAACUCCUGGCUUCUAGCAAUCCUCCCACCAUGCCAGACCCUAGACUUAAAAAGUUAGAAUUGGCUGGAUGUAGUGGCUUACACCUAUAAUCCCAAUACAUUGGGAGGCUGAGGUGGGAGGAUCACUUGAGCCCAGGAGCUGAAGACCAAUUUGGCCAACAUAGUGAGACCCCCAUCUCUAUUUUUAAAAAAAGUUAGAAUUUAUUGUGUUACUAAAAGUGAUUUGGAAAAUUAUACCUUUAGUUUAAUUAUUGGGGAAUUACACUGUCAGUCUCUUACCCUUGUGUAUAGAACUAUGUCCAGAAUCAAAUUUAUGUAGAUCCUAAACACUGUUAUGGGAAUCUGAUUAGUAUUUGUCACAUUGACUUAAAAAUUAGCAUCUCAGUUGGCGUGGUACUCACACCUGUAAUUUCAGCACUUUGGGAGGCCAAGGUGGGAGGAUCACUGAGGCCAGGAGUUCAAGACCAGCCUGGGCAACAUGGUGAAACCCCAACUCUACAAAAAAAUACAAAAAUUAGCCAGGCAAGGUGUCUCACUACUGGCCCUAUAGUUCCGGCUAAUCAGGAAGCUGAGGUGGGAGAAUUACUUGAACCAAGAAGGUUAAGGCUGCAGUGAGCUGUGAUUGCACCACUGCUCUCAGCCUGGGCUACAGGGCAAGACCCUGUCUCAAAAAUAAAUAAAUAAAUUAGCAUCUGAAUAUUUCAAAGCUGUCAAUGUGUACUGGCUGAACCAAUAGCCACUACUUGAUCCUUACAAUUACAUUUUGUAACUAGCAACAACAAAGUUAAUAGAUUCAAGAGGCAUAUAAAGAAUCUCAUGACUAGAAUUUUCCCCCUUUCAUUGGUGAGGGACAUAAACUGACCCAAAACUACGGCUUGAUAUAUGUUUUUUAAAUUACU
rnacentral:lncRNA from 10 species